CCUACGGGAGGCAGCAGUGGGGAAUAUUGCACAAUGGGGGAAACCCUGAUGCAGCGACGCCGCGUGAGUGAAGAAGUAUUUCGGUACGUAAAGCUCUAUCAGCAGGGAAGAAAAUGACGGUACCUGACUAAGAAGCCCUGGCUAACUACGUGCCAGCAGCCGCGGUAAUACGUAGGGGGCAAGCGUUAUCCGGAUUUACUGGGUGUAAAGGGAGCGUAGACGGCAGCGCAAGUCUGUAGUGAAAUCCCAUGGCUUAACCAUGGAACUGCUUUGGAAACUGUGCAGCUAGAGUGCAGGAGAGGUAAGCGGAAUUCCUAGUGUAGCGGUGAAAUGCGUAGAUAUUAGGAGGAACACCAGUGGCGAAGGCGGCUUACUGGACUGUAACUGACGUUGAGGCUCGAAAGCGUGGGGAGCAAACAGGAUUAGAUACCCCUGUAGUC
rnacentral:rRNA from 1 species